GAUAAGAACGCAGCGAAUGCGAUAAGUAAUGUGAAUUGCAGAAUUCCGUGAAUCAUCGAAUCUUUGAACGCACAUUGCGCCCUCUGGUAUUCCGGGGGGCAUGCCUGUCCGAGCGUCAUUUGCAACCCUCAAGCCCGGCUUGUGUGAUGGGUGCCGUCCCCUACGGGACGCGCCCCGAAGGCAAUGGCGGCGUCGCGGUUAUCCGAUCAGCCAAAGUGUAUGGGGCUUUGUCACUCACUUUACGGCCCGGACCGGCGCCAGUCCGAAUCAAUCUUUUUUCUAAAGUUGACCUCGGAUCAGGCAGGGAUACCCGCUGAACUUAAGCAUAUCAAUAAGCGGAGGA
rnacentral:misc_RNA from 1 species